CCUGCCCUUGACACCGGAAUAACAGCUGGAAACAGCUGCUAAUACCGGAUACGACCUCCGAUGGCAUCAUCUGGAGGUGGAAAGCUCCGACGGUCAAGGAUGGGCUCGCGGCCUAUCAGCUUGUUGGUGAGGUAACGGCUCACCAAGGCUUCGACGGGUAGCCGGCCUGAGAGGGCGACCGGCCACACUGGGACUGAGAUACGGCCCAGACUCCUACGGGAGGCAGCAGUGGGGAAUAUUGCACAAUGGGCGAAAGCCUGAUGCAGCAACGCCGCGUGCGGGAUGACGGCCUUCGGGCUGUAAACCGCUUUCAGUUCCGACGAAGGUAACCUGACGGUAGGAACAGAAGAAGGACCGGCCAACUACGUGCCAGCAGCCGCGGUGAUACGUAGGGUCCGAGCGUUGUCCGGAAUUAUUGGGCGUAAAGGGCUUGUAGGCGGUUUGUCGCGUCGGAAGUGAAAACUCAGGGCUUAACCCUGAGCCUGCUUCCGAUACGGGCAAACUAGAGGGAUGCAGGGGA
rnacentral:rRNA from 1 species